CUCACACGCUGUCUCUCUCUCUCUCUCUCUCCCCCUCUCUCUCAAAAAUAAAUAAACAUUAAAAAUAAAUAAAAUUUAAUUAAUUAAUUAAUUUUAAAAAGGCUGAUUUUUGGUCUCCUCUAUAGGCCUCCAGAAUCCAAAAUUUUCAAAGAAAGUCCUGGAAAUCUGUGUUUUUUGCACGCAUUCUCUUCACUAGGCCGGCCAGUGCAGUAAAAUUUAAGAAUCUUUCUCUAUACCAAUCCUGGUCUCAUUUAUUAUCCUUUUCAUGAAAAUAUUUCGUUUUCAACCUUUUGUGACUUCUGAAAAUGGAAUCUGAAGCAGAGGGAUCCACUUCCAUAAUACCGCCUGUGGCCAUCACUGGCACACUUGGCUUGCCGAUUUUAUCAGAGGAUGCGAAGGAAGCCAACCUUUGAUUAUCAGGAUUCCCAUAUCUACUUUUCCGUUGACUUGUCGCCAUUAAAGGCGCCUCUCCAGCUUUUCCUUUUCUCCUCUUUCUGCGAGAAAAAUGGGCCUGGUGCUCUUGGAAGCUGUGCUCUUGGAGCCCUUGAGCGCAGGGGCGAGUGAAAGUAAACUUGUUCAAGUUCUCUGAAGAAGCGGGAGUGGAAUCCAUCGGUGUUCCCACGGAGAAAGCACCGACUCCAAGAGAAUGCAGGAUGAAUGGAGAAGGAUGACGUCACAAAGAUGUCCAGGGAAACACCGGAACACCGUCACUCCGCUCACUCCUUGGUCUCCUCCCACCACUUCCUCAAGCCCUCCCGGAACUCCUGCCUCAGGAGUAAUGCGAGCAACGCAGUGUGUGCUGGUAAACCAGCUAGCUCUCUGAAAAAAAAAAAAAAAGAAAAAAGAAAAGAAAAACAAAAAUCCGAAUUUGUACUAUUUGCCAGUUUCCACGGUGUAAACAGUCCCACCACGGCAGAUUUUGGUGGUUUAACAGCAGACUCACAACACUUUCCAAUAUUUAAUAAUCGGCUCUUGCAAACCAGGAGGGGACAACUCCAGCAUGUCCUCCACAGUCCUGCCCCAGAAAAUCCCCAAAUCACACCCCGGUUUAAUUCUUAGGUCCAGCCACAGAACCUAAAAGGGUAGAGGGAAGUUUUUCCUCUCCUCCAUCAACUAUGGAGAUAAUGGUGAACAAGGCAAAGUCUCUGCCCUCAUGAAGCUUACUGUCCAGUUUACAAGGAAAUCACUCUGUACACAAAUAACUUGAGAUAAUCCAAUAAUGACAAGGGUGCCGAGUGCUUUAAAGAAGAAGCCCAAGGUUUUACUAGGUACAUAACUACCCAGAGAAAGGAUUACAUGGCCACCUGCCCAAUAAGAUGUAGGCAGAAGUAACGUAUGGGGUCUCUGAGACCUUUUUUCUGCUACCUGGUAUCUGGAGGUGAUGGCUGGCAGCUGAGCAGCCAUCAGGGACCAUGAGGAGACACGGCUAAAAGUUGGCAAACAGUAUAUUAAGUGGAGCUUUGUUCCCUGAUGACCACGAGACUGUCAUACACCAUAUCAGCCCUGGAUCGCCUACCUCCAGGCUUCUUUUAUGUAAGGGAGAAAUAAAGGUCAAUCAAAUAAAUAAAGCCUCUAUUAUUUUCAGAUUUUCUGUUACAAAGUCAAACACAAUC